ensembl:lncRNA PVT1 Pvt1 oncogene
CCUCUCUGAUGCCAGAGAGACACUCUAGGUCUUUCGCGCCCUGGUCAUUUUACAGAACUGUGGCUGGAUGCCAGGCAUUCAGAGAUACAUUCCUCAAUCUCGGUCCGCCUUACAGGAUCCAGCAUCGAAGAGUUCAGUUCAAGUCAGCAGCCGAGUUACAGGAAAGCAGCCAGGGCAAUGAUUCAGCAAGUCCAGGCAGGAGUGAACCAGGCAAGAUUUCGGGAGGAGAGGGCUGGGUCGCGUGUCCUGGCAGGGCCACAGGAAGAGCAUACACAUCUCCUGCGUCUUCGUAUUUUGACCAUAGCUGUCUGCAGUGCAGGAAGCCAACUAUUAAGGGGAAACAAAAGUGUUCUUAGGAGUCCUGCUGUCACUGUGGAUUGAGCCGGUGAAGCCCUGAGGGAUUUCAUCGCUGAGGUGGAUGGAGAAGCAGCUGGGGGCCUUGGCUGUAAGGACCCCUAAGGGCCUGAUCUUUUGGCCAGAAGGAGAUUAAAAAGAUGCCCCUCAAGAUGGCUGUGCCUGUCAGCUGCAUGGAGCUUCGUUCAAGUAUUUUCUGAGCCUGAUGGAUUUACAGUGAUCUUCAGUGGUCUGGGGAAUAACGCUGGUGGAACCAUGCACUGGAAUGACACACGCCCGGCACAUUUCAGGAUACUAAAAGUGGUUUUAAGGGAGGCUGUGGCUGAAUGCCUCAUGGAUUCUUACAGCUUGGAUGUCCAUGGGGGACGAAGGACUGCAGCUGGCUGAGAGGGUUGAGAUCUCUGUUUACUUAGAUCUCUGCCAACUUCCUUUGGGUCUCCCUAUGGAAUGUAAGACCCCGACUCUUCCUGGUGAAGCAUCUGAUGCACGUUCCAUCCGGCGCUCAGCUGGGCUUGAGCUGACCAUACUCCCUGGAGCCUUCUCCCGAGGUGCGCGGGUGACCUUGGCACAUACAGCCAUCAUGAUGGUACUUUAAGUGGAGGCUGAAUCAUCUCCCCUUUGAGCUGCUUGGCACGUGGCUCCCUUGGUGUUCCCCUUUUACUGCCAGGACACUGAGAUUUGGAGAGAAUCCUGUUACACCUGGGAUUUAGGCACUUUCAAUCUGAAAAAAUACAUAUCCUUUCAGCACUCUGGACGGACUUGAGAACUGUCCUUACGUGACCUAAAGCUGGAGUAUUUUGAGAUUGGAGAAUUAAGAGUGUGGGCACCCUGGCUUCAAGCUCACGAGAAACCAGGUCGGGAUUUAAACAAUGUUGGGUUAAAGCAAAGUUUCAUAAAGACAGAAUCAAGAAAAAAAGAAAGAGAAA